rfam:Microgenomates (Woesebacteria) bacterium GW2011_GWA1_39_12 TT23_C0038, whole genome shotgun sequence.
GGGCGCAUAGCUCAAUGGUAGAGCACCUCCCUCUUAAGGAGAUGGUUGGAGGUUCGAGUCCUCCUGCGCCCA